rnacentral:sRNA from 1 species
AAGUGUCUGACCAUCAUGUGGGCCCUGGGUCAAGCGGGUUUUGCCAACCUCACCGAGGGACUGAAAGUGUGGCUGGGGAUCAUGCUGCCUGUGCUGGGCAUCAAGUCUCUGUCUCCCUUUGCCAUCACAUACCUGGAUCGGCUGCUCCUGAUGCAUCCCAGCCUUACCAAGGGCUUCGGCAUGAUUGGCCCCAAGGACUUCUUCCCACUUCUGGACUUUGCCUAUAUGCCGAACAACUCCCUGACACCCAGCCUGCAGGAGCAACUGUGUCAGCUCUACCCCCGACUGAAGGUGCUGGCAUUUGGAGCAAAGCCAGAUUCCACCCUGCAUACCUACUUUCCUUCUUUCCUGUCCAGAGCCACCCCUAGCUGUCCCCCUGAGAUGAAGAAAGAGGUGAGGAUAUGGUAGGAGGCUUCUUCUCCUUCCCCAGGGGUCAGCUGUAGCGGUCCCUAUCUGCUGACAAAGGCCUUGCCUUCACAGAGCCCAUUCUGAGGCUUUUCCUUAGC